UAUGUACUCCCUCCGUCCGGAAAAGCCUCUCCUUCAAAUGAAUGUAUCUAGCAUCAAGUUAGUGCUAAAUACAUUCAUUUGAGAGACAAACCUGGGACAAGCUUUUUUGGACGGAGGGAGUAUCCA
rfam:Triticum aestivum genome assembly, contig: Triticum_aestivum_CS42_TGACv1_scaffold_194667_3AL